CUACGGGGGGCUGCAGUGGGGAAUCUUGGACAAUGGGGGCAACCCUGAUCCAGCGAUGCCGCGUGUGUGAAGAAGGCCUUCGGGUUGUAAAGCACUUUUAGUUGGGAAGAAGGUACGCUUUAGGCGUGCUUGACGGUACCGACAGAAAAAGCACCGGCUAACUCUGUGCCAGCAGCCGCGGUAAUACAGAGGGUGCGAGCGUUAAUCGGAUUGACUGGGCGUAAAGGGCGCGUAGGCGGCGUAUUAAGUUAGAUGUAAAAGGCUCGGGCUUAACCUGAGUAGGUCAUCUAAUACUGAUAGGCUUGAGUACAGUAGAGGGGAGUGGAAUUUCCGGUGUAGCGGUGAAAUGCGUAGAGAUCGGAAGGAACAUCAGUGGCGAAGGCGGCUCUCUGGACUGUAACUGACGCUGAGGCGCGAAAGCGUGGGGAGCAAACAGGAUUAGAUACCCCUGUAGUC
rnacentral:rRNA from 1 species